GGCCUUAGCUCAGAGGUAGGGCACCUGCUUGGCUUGCAGAAGGUCCCGGGUUCAGUUCCUGGCAUCGCCU